rnacentral:lncRNA from 1 species
UUUCCUUCUUGCUUUUAAAAAAAAACUUCUCUUCUCUCAUUUUUCUCUGCAAGUGCCCUAGGUCCGGCCAGCACUCCUCACCGUCCGUCGCACCCUCCACCGCCGGCACUGUCGCCGGCCAUCACGUGGUUUUAAAAAAGGGUAUAUUUUGUAUAUCUUUUUUUGUAUUUUUUAUGUCUUUAUAAUAUGUAUAUGCAUGUGAAUAAAUAGGUUUAAAAAAAGGAAAAGAAAGAAGACAAUGAUGAUAAUUAAAUAAAAUCACCUUGAAAUAUUAGAUUUCGAAUCUUUGUCUGAACUGUUUUCUGCUUUUGGAUAUUGCUGGGAUUUCUGUUUUUGCUUGUGUUUUUUAAAAUCUAAUCUUGUUUUUUCAUUUCACAAAAGGCCGACUGUACAAAAAAAUUUUGGAUUUGGCUUUUAAAUAGCCAUUUACAUGCUUUUUAUUCCUGCUUUAUGUCAAUUCCCGUUUAACGCUUGCAGGGGUGCAACUUGGAUGACGGUGGGGUGGUGCUGCAGGCGUCGGUGGUGGAUGGGACAGGGGUCAGAGGCUGAACGGCUAGGGUGAAUAGAUUAGGGUUUUUUUUCUUUUUCUUCUUUUUGAUUUUGGGUUAUAUUUGGGCUGUAUGGGUUUGGGUUUUGGGGUAUUUGGGUCUUUAGUGGGCUUCUGUUGUUUUGGGCCCAAAAUUGGGCUUGUACAGGCACUACUACCCCUUUUUAUUUAAGAAGUUUUCCAGCGUAUCGCUCGAGUUGCUUGACCAGAAGAUCAUUCCUCAAGGCUUUGGCACAAUGGUCAUUGGCCUAAAGUUUCUGAAUAGCCCUUUCCUGUGAGGCAAUCUUGGCAUCAAGGUGUUGCAACAUUCUUUGUUCAAAGGCUAAAAGUUGGUCAGGAGUGUCUACAUCAGUGGCAACUAGAACAAGCACUACAUAAAAAGGUUGAGCUUGCUUCAAGAUUGGCAGCAGAGUGUUUCCCUUCAAGCCACUUGUAUGAUAAAUUUAACUAUGCAGGUUUCCUUUUAUAUUUUUUAGUAGUAUGCACAAUUUUAGAAUUUUGCUUAUGAAAAAUAUGAAAAUUAAGUGAAGGAAAAGGGAGACAUAUCCUAGGGUAAAAUCCAAUUAUAAUAAUUUGAAGUAAAAAUGAGAUCGAGCUCUAAUUUGGAAAGAGUUUGAUUUCAUUUUUAUUUUAAUAUUAAAAUCAAUAAUGAAUGGCCAAAUUUCAAUAUCAAAGGUCCGAUUUACUGACUCAAUUUAGAAAGAAUUUAAGCUUACCCUGUAAUCCUAAAAAUGCACCUCUAACCUUAAUCUUAAAACCAAACUAUACUUUAACUCGAUUAUAUAA